GGUAUAGCGUAGCCCGGUUAUCGCGCCUGCUUUGGGAGCAGGAGGUCGCAGGUUCGAAUCCUGCUACC
rnacentral:tRNA from 1 species